rnacentral:rRNA from 1 species
AGUGAACGCUGGCGGUAGGCCUAACACAUGCAAGUCGAACGGCAGCACAGGAGAGCUUGCUCUCUGGGUGGCGAGUGGCGGACGGGUGAGGAAUACAUCGGAAUCUACUUUUUCGUGGGGGAUAACGUAGGGAAACUUACGCUAAUACCGCAUACGACCUACGGGUGAAAGCAGGGGAUCUUCGGACCUUGCGCGAGUGAAUGAGCCGAUGUGGGAUUAGCUAGUAGGCGGGGUAAAGGCCCACAAAGGCGACGAUCGGUAGCUGGUCUGAGAUGAGGGUCAGCCACACUGGAACUGAGACACGGUCCAGACUCCUACGGGAGGCAGCAGUGGGGAAUAUUGGACAAUGGGCGCAAGCCUGAUCCAGCCAUGCCGCGUGGGUGAAGAAGGCCUUCGGGUUGUAAAGCCCUUUUGGUGGGAAAGAAAUCCAGCUGGUUAAUACCCGGUUGGGAUGACGGUACCCAAAGAAUAAGCACCGGCUAACUUCGUGCCAGCCGCCGCGGUAA